CCCGACUGCUAUUUGGGUGAGAAUAAGCCAUGCGAGUUGAAUGGGAUACCUAAAGUUCCCAUAGCAAACUGCUCAGUAACACAUGAUCAACUUACCCUAUAGAGAAAAAUAACCUCGGGAAACUGAGGAUAAUAUUUCAUAAUUGAAUUGGCUUGGAAAAGUUUUUCAAUGAAAAGGAUAAAAAAAAUGGUUUUUAUCUGCUAUAGGAUAGGAUCGUGUUCGAUUAUGGUUGUUGGUGAGAUAAUGGCUCACCAAGCCGAUAAUCGAUAGGGGCCGUGAGAGCGGGAGCCCCGAGAUGGGUACUGAGACAACGACCCAGGCCUUACGAGGCGCAGCAGGCGCGGAACCUCCGCAAUACACGAAAGUGUGACGGGGUUACCCAAAGUGUUCAAUAGAACUGUGGUAGGUGAGUAAUGUUCCCUACUAGAAAGGAGAGGGCAAGGCUGGUGCCAGCCGCCGCGGUAAAACCAGCUCUUCAAGUGGUCGGGAUAAUAUUGGGCUUAAAGUGUCCGUAGCCGGUUUAGCAAGUUCCUGGUAAAAUCAGGUAGCUUAACUAUCUGCAUGCUAGGAAUACUGCUAUACUAGAGGGCGGGAGAGGUCUGAGUACUACAGGGGUAGGGGUGAAAUCUUAUAAUCCUUGUAGGACCACCAGUGGCGAAGGUGUCAGACUGGAACGCGCCUGACGGUGAGGGACGAAAGCCAGGGGAGCGAACCGGAUUAGAUACCCGGGUAGUCCUGGCCGUAAACGAUGCAUACUAGGUGAUGGUACGGUCAUGAGCCGUAUCAGUGCCGUAGGGAAACCGUUAAGUGUGCCGCCUGGGAAGUACGGUCGCAAGGCUAAAACUUAAAGGAAUUGGCGGGGGAGCACCACAAGGGGUGAAGCCUGCGGUUCA
rnacentral:rRNA from 1 species